CAGUCGCCGCGGUAAUAUGUAGGGUGCAAGCGUUAAUCGGAAUUACUGGGCGUAAAGCGUGCGCAGGCGGUUUGUUAAGACAGAUGUGAAAUCCCCGGGCUCAACCUGGGAACUGCAUUUGUGACUGGCAAGCUAGAGUGUGGCAGAGGGGGGUGGAAUUCCGCGUGUAGCAGUGAAAUGCGUAGAUAUGCGGAGGAACACCGAUGGCGAAGGCAGCCCCCUGGGCCAACACUGACGCUCAUGCACGAAAGCGUGGGGAGCAAACAGGAUUAGAUACCCGCGUAGUCCCUGUCUCUUAUAC
rnacentral:rRNA from 1 species